CUUGCCUGUUUUUCCAAGCCAUUCUGUUUCCUCAAACCCAAUCCUCCCCUUGGACUCUGGCUUUUUAGAAGACAAAAGCCAGAAAUGCUCCCAGGGUCCUUCUGCAUCUCAUCCUGCCGCUCACCUCCCUAAAGCAAGUACACGGGUCAGCUAUACCUGCUCAAAAGGGCAAUGAAGAAGGAAAACGUCAGUAACUCUGACUAAAGGCAGAAACGUGCUUUCUUGGAGUGAGACAGAGAAUGCACAGAAGAACAUGAUUAUAAGCAGGGAGUGGGUAAAGAGAACAGGGAAGGAGGGAGGCUUACUGGCCCUCUUAUGCUUUUGAGCUGGGUCUCAAAGGCUGGGCGGGAUUUCAUUUGACAGAGCACACCGAACAGAAAGGCAGGAGCAGAAAGAAAAUAGAAGUGGUGUUUGCAUGAAGGUAAAUCAUCUCAUCUGACUAGACACAUUUGAGCAGUGAGAAAAUAAACCAAAAAAAGUAGGCUGGAGUCAGUUUGUGGCAGGCCUUCAGAGCCCAGGGUGUUUUGACAUCAACUUAAGUAGUUGGCAGCCAUUGAGUCAGAGAGUGAGUUGAUUAGACUGCUGUGUUAGAAAAUGAAAUAGCAACGCUGUCUAGGAUGGAUUAAUGGCUGGGACUGUUGAAAGACUAGAGCAGGGAGACCUUUCAGUAGGUUGUGCAAUCAUCUAGAAACUGGAAGGAAAAGGAGGAACGAGCUGCAAAAGAUACUGCUGAAGAAGAGUAAACAGACUUUGGCCACUGGGUGAAUAUAAAAGAAGGACAAGAGAAAGCUGUUGAUGAGAGUGAUCUGCCUGCUCCCCGCAGUUGAGAGUGCUGCACUGCAAGUGUUACCUGGUGAGGCCCACCUCCAGCCCACUACUUCUGGGAAAAAUGACUUAAUGUCUAAGGAGAAGGCUAAUUUGGAAGGGAGUCAUACUGGUACAAGGAGGCAAAUUAGGAGACUACCAAAUCAGGUGAGAGGAUGUGGGCUCAUGGGAGGGAUGGGGAGAAGGGGAAGGAGAAGAGGGUAGUAAGAUGGAACCAAUAAAAUCAGUGAUUAAUCCGAUAUAAAGGUUAAGUGAGACUUUCUCUACCCAUCCCCAACAAAUCCUCCCCAUUUCAGGCUUCUGACAUGGGCAGAUUUGCAAAGGUGGUGCUACUCACCAGGAAAGAGAAAAGAGCCACAUGGGAGCUGCAAGUUUGGCAGGCAGAAUAUGUAGGAUUGGUUUAUUGUUUCUGCUUUCCAGUAUAGAAAGAUGCAUACCCUCAAGAGAAUCUGCUUGUUGUGGUUUCUGAUUUACAUGUAAGUUCUUUUCACUACUUUUAUGCCAUUCCACAUUUACUAAAUCUUAUCUUUUAGUUUGCUUUCAGACACUAACUAUAAGUAGAAAUAACGUAAAUAGCAUUCAAAUAAAAAUAUAUUGAAAAGGUACUUGGGAACGAGAAUAAAAAACAAGCCAAAGCUUGUUAGCAGACACUUCCUAACAAAGAAUGCAAUAAGUCACUUUCGAAAGAAUGAAAAAACAGCAGAGAUCAAGGCUGGGAGUUGCUUCAACAGCACUCAGGGAAACGAUUCUUGAGGUCUCCCACUGUACACCUCUGGUGUAGCAAAUGGUUAUUGAAUAGAAUGAGAAAAGGAGCUUCUAGGUGCUUCAGGAGACCCACAUGUAGCCAUCAUAAUGGUACAUAUUCUAGAGCAGUUAAAACUUUUGGUGCUCCUUUACAACAUCCCCAAGGGGCUUCCUAUGUACACCAUCUUAAUCAGUUGCAACAAUACUGUUUGUAAUUUAGGACUUCCACUUCUGACUGUGACACAAUAGCAUGUACCAAACCAAUCUUAUUCCACAGAAAACAAUAGAAGCUGAAUUAAAAAGAAAAUAAGCUGUUUAAAGGUAUCAGAGAGCAACCAAGCCUUGAGAGAGGCCAUGAUCGUAGAGAAAAGGGAAUCACAAGGAAGUGAGCCUAACAUUUUGUGCUGCUUUUCCCUUUGGGAAAUUCACCAAUUUUUAAGCUUCUCUGACCAAGACGCCAAGUCAAAAGCGGCAGAUAAGAGAAUGAAAAGCUCAUUAGUCUUACGGUGCUUGAGAGACCAAAAAACAAAAACAAAGAAAACCCCAAAAGAAACAACAACAACAAAAAAUUGGAGUUGCAAGCCUGUCAAGGAGGGACAGCACUGGUAAGCACUGCAGGCUUUCCAUCAGAUCCGUGAAAGACAAUGCCUUGGAAGUAAUAACAAACCAGAAACAGGUUAGUCCUCACAAACCUUGAAAUCAAGCACUGAAUCAAUCGUCUCAAUCCCAAACUUUAUCAAGGUGAUAUGCCUCUACUCUGUAUGCCUUCUAGAAAAAAUUAAAUCCUUUUGGAAGAAAAAUAACAUUUUUCUUCAUAUAUUUUUUGUACAUUUUCUUCAACAUUUAAUAAAAUUUAAUAGGCAUGACAAAGAACAAGAGCAAUGACUAAAAUUUAAGGAGAAAAAAAGAUAACAGAGACCACAAAUGAUCCAGAUAUUAGAGUUACCAGGUACACAUUUUAAAGUAACUGUGAACAAAAUAUGCAAGAUGUUAGGUAUAGAAAAAUAAUUCACAAGAUAAUUAGAAUAUAUACAAGAGAAUCAAAUGGAAGUUCUUUAACUAAAAAGUUACUCAUUCAUUGUUCAUUGAAAUUAAGAACUCGAUCGAUGUUUUAGCAAUAGAUUAGGCAUGCAGAAGAAACACUAUAUGAACUGGAAGUUAGGUCAGUAGAGGAUAUCCAGACUGAAGCAUGGAGAAUAAAGGUAUGAAAAUUCAAAAAAAAAAAAAAAGAAGAAGAAGACGACAUGAAACCAUGAAACAUUUAACUUAUGUUUAACUGGAAUUUUAGGAUAAAAUGAUAAGGAAGAAAUGGGGCAAAAGAAACAAAUAGUAACAUUCAGAGAUACUGACUGAAAAAUUUCCAAAAUUGACAAAAGUUACCAAGCCAGUUUUGAGAAGCUCUAUGAAUCCUAGAUAGAAUAAACACAAAGCAAACUAACCACAUCAUAGUACACAUAAUAGUAUAUUAGUAAUAGUAUAUUACACUAUAGUAUGUGUAUGUGCACACACACACACACACACACACACACACACACAGAGAGAAUAGCAUUUUGCUAAAAGCAAAGACAGAGAAAAUCUUAAAAGCUGUCACAGAAAAGGAAACAGUACUUUCAGUACCUUCAAAGCAGCAAGAAAACUGACUAUUCAACAGAAACAAUGAAAGCUGGAAGACAGUGAAAUAAUAUCUUGAAAGUUCUUAAAUAAAAUAUCUGCCAACCUAGAACUUGUAUAGAAAUGAAGACCUUGUAAAGAUAUUUUCAAGGAAACAAAAAAUUGGAAAAGGUUUUUGUCAGCAGACCUGCACUAAAAGAAGUACGAAAGACUGUUCUUCAGACAGAAGGAAAAUUAUCCGUAAUGGAAACAUGAAAAUGCAGAGGAGAAUGAACAGCAACUGAGAAUUUACAUAUGUGAACACAAGUAAGGAGUAUCAAUAAUUAAUAAUGUCUUCUGGAGUUUGAACUAUGUAGAAGUUUUUCAAAAGACAGUACUUGCACAAAAAGGGUGUAAAGUGAGUUAAAGUGUUGUAAGGCAGCAGUCCCCAACCUUUCUGACACCAGGGACCAAUUUUGUGGGAGACGGUUUUUCCAUGCACAGUGUUGGGGAGUGGGGGAUGGUUUGGGGAUGACACUGUUCCACUUCAGAUCAUCAGGCAUUAGAUUCUCAUGAGAAGCGCACAACUAGAUCCCUCACAUGCGCAGUUCACAAUAGGGUUCCCCUCCUAUAAGAAUCUAAUGCUGCCACUGAUUUGACAGGAGGCGGAGCUCAGACAGUAAUGCUUGCCUGCACUCACCUCCUGCUGUGUGGCCUGCUUCCUAAAAGGCCACAAACAGUUACCAGUCUGUGACCGAGGGAUUGGGGGCCCCUGUUGUAAGGUACACUUUUAUAUCUGGACAAUGGUAAAUGUAUUGACUCAAAGCUGACUUUCUUAAAUCAGGAUAUAUGUCAUAAUCUCUACAUAAACAUAAAGGAUAGAUAAAAUAAUCUACUAUUAUCAAGUUAAUAGUGGUAAAAGGGGAGGGCAGUAUGACUUCCAAAUAAUAGAUUGAAUAAAAGGAUGAGAGUAAGUGGAAGGGGCAUUACUGCAUGAUAUGAGAAACAGACUUCUGACAAUCAGGGUACUCAAAUGAGAAGAAAUCUUGUGAUACGUUCCUUCCUUUUAGAGAGAUACAGAAUGAACACCUGAGAGGUGAAGACCUUUCACUCAAAUCUGUUAGCCUUAUUUCACCAGAUCAGUUAGACGUGCUUUGAACGUGUCUAUUAAAAAAAAAGUCAUGGAAAAUUUUCUCUGUAUUAACUCCAAGAAUUUCUGUGUUAAUUUCAGCAAGGUUGGGAUGAAUUAUUGAAGUUGAAGCUUUCUCUUUCCUUGGGCAGUAUAGUUAAUGAAAAUCUAAAAGCAGAGUACAGGAUAAUAGGAAGCCAUUUGGCCUGAUGGUUAAGAGCACGGACUUGGGAUUUGGUAGCUCAGGGUUUGAGCCCAGUUCUGUGACUUUGGCAUAAUGACUUAACUAUCUCUAUUUUCUCAUUUGUAAAAUGGGGAUAAGAAUUUGGGUGACCACUUGUCGCACUGUGCCUAGGACCAAGAGGUUUCUGGGAACAUAGGGCUUUGAGUGCUAAAAGUAAAAAAGGGUCAGGCAAUCUGGAAUGGUUGCUUACUCUAUGAAUAACUUUUUGUAAGGAUUCAGAGACAAUACUUAUAAAAUGAUGCAGGGCAUCUGGUCUACAAAUAUGUCUUUUUUUUCUUUUCUUUUCUUUUUUUUUUUUUGAGACAGGGUCUCACUCUGUGGCCCAGGCUGGAGUGCAGUGAUGUGAUCUUGGCUCCCUGCAGCCUCUGCUUGCUGAGUUCAAGUGAUUCUUGUGCCUCAGCCUCCCGAGUAGCUGGGAUUACAGGCAUACGCCACUACAUCCAGCUAAUUUUUUUUGUAUUUUCAGUAGAAACGGGGUUUCACCAUGUUCCCCAGGCUGGUCUCAAACUCCUGGGCUCAAGGGAUCCUCCUGCCUCGGCCUCCCAAAGUGCUGAGAUUACCCAUCGCGCCUGGCCCAUUACAAAUAUGUCUUAAGUUUGUACCAUGUGCCAGUGUAUUACAAAGAUAAUAAGGACUCAACCAGUGGUCACUCUACUACUAUUAUCAGAGUUUUUAUGACAAACAGAGUAUUUUUUUCCCUUUAAGAAGUGAAGAGGAGAAAUUACAGCACUAAUAAAUAUAACAUUCAUUACUGUACUUUUUCAGAAAAAAGGAUUAUAAUACAGUCUUCAGAAGGGGAAAUGUUUCUUUUCCAGGCUUCUUUGAUUUCCCUUUUAUGAAUCCUCCCUUUCCUUGGAAAAGGCCCCAAUGAAAUUAAUGAAGCAGCUUGAAUGUGAAAGCAAACCUCUGUCACUGCACUCAACUUAACUGUGUCUACAGUGAGUUUUAUCCCUGCCAAUGCCAUGAUCCAUCCCAUUCUUUCCCUCCACCCUCUCUCCCCUUUCACCACAUGCAAUGCCAAACACCCUCUUCUUCCUACACAGAAAUGCCAGGAAAGCAAGACCUUACUUGUCGUAGCAGAAUGGCAAAAAACUGUUCUGUCUUUUUCCCCUUUUAGGAACCCACUUUACCACACAGGAUUUGAUGCAAUUAAAAAGUAAUCAAGAUUUCCCAUCCUCAUUCUCUCCUUCCCUGUCCAGUUUUUAUACUUGAUAUCCACAAGAGGAUAAAAAGCACAAUCCAGUUCAUUAUUUAUACUUACUCAAUAUCUAGCUUUAUGAUCUACAUUUGUAGUUUUCUUUUGGAAGAGAGAAUAAGAGUGGGGGAGGAAGGGGCAGAGGUUAUAGCAGUAAAUGCUCUCGCCAGGAGUGCUGCAAGGACUUAGAUCCUGACUCAUCAUCUUCUGUGUACCAUGGAAACAAGAGCCGGCUAACCUGCUAAAGAUUUACUUCCUGCAGACAGCAAUGCAAGAUAGUUCUAGCAGCAGUGUGUGGGCACUCCCUCACUGGAUCAGGAGAACCAACUGUGCACAUUGCUGCCCAACUCCAUGUUUAGUGGUGUGAAGUUGGUAGCUUGAAAUUGGCUGCGUGAGAGUAUUUACACUAUGGAAAUUGGCAAAUACUACAAAUCAGUGCCCUCUCUCUUCAGUUUACCCUCAGACUCCUGGUUCUCUGACAUUUUGGCUGUCCUGGGGAAAGAGGAAACAUUCUGACAUUCUUCUUCUUUCCAACGUGAACCUAAGGAACAUCCACCUAUCGUAAAUUACAAGGUCUAAAACUUCUUUGAAACCUUGGCUCUGGAAAUCAGAUGAGCCAGAUUUCAAAAAUUUGCAGAAAGGUGAGAAAGGCCUGUCACUUGUUUCCAUUUCUGCCUACCCUCACUGAGUUCUAGUAUAAGUGACAAUGAUAGAAUUUCAAGACCAUGCUACAACAUCUACAAGACUCUUCCAUUUAUAUCAGAGCACCAUGAGAUGCUCCAGAGCUGAUCUGUUUAGGAGAACUCCAGACCAGACAGGGUAUCUGGAUUCAACUAUGUUCUCGACUCACAGCCUAAGGGAACCCCAGAACCCCUAAAUGUCUCUAGGUUCUGGGAAUUUAGAAUACACAGCAUGCCAAAUAGCAUGAUAUUUUCAUGAUGCCAUUUGUUAAAAUAAAACAAGGUACAUAGUUUUUACUGCCAACCCCAAAACUGUACAAGGCAAAAAUACUGCAUUAGUCUAAUUGACAACGUAGCACUAUCUUAACACAAUUUUUUCCAUCCCUCUAUUUCUCUACCCUACUCCAUCUUCCGCCUUAUUUGUUUAUUUCUUGCUUUAACAUCCCCACAAGUGAUUUUGUGAGUCUUUGGUUACACUUCAAAUUAAAACAACAAAAAGUUACUGUUUAAAAAGCAAAUCCCAAUUCCCUCUUUGUUCCUCAAAUAUCAUUCUCCAUGUGUGGAUAAUACUCUAAAAUACAGACUUCUCAGUAUUUAUCCGCUUUCCAUUUAAUGAAAUGGCUCUCUGUUAAAUUUCAAUAGAUGAUUAAAAACCACUCAACAGCCAAGAGAAAGUUACGCAUUGUUGCCUAGCUGUUACACCUCAAUAAAUAGAUUUGCUAGCCAAUUUAUAUUUUAAAUAAUACAAUAAAUUAGCUCCCAGAGUACUAACUAAGUGCAUAUUUGGGUAGCUUAAUUUAGAAGCAUUCUUCUUAUGCUAAUCGGUCCUCUCUAAUGAAAUAGAACCACAUGAACUAAGAAGACUUUUGGCAAAUAAUCAGAGUCAAAUUGGGAGUUGCUAUUGUUUAUUAUUUCCUUUGUCUUCAGGAAGCAAGCUGUGUGGUUUUUAAGAGAAGGGAAAAAAACAAAAACCAGGAAUUCAAUUAUUUUUAAAGGAGAGGAUGCUCUAGUCAGCACUGAGGUAAUGAAAUUUCUACAACUCCUUUUAUAAAUUUGUGUCCCAGAAUAUUUCUCAUUUUUUCUCCCAUGCAACACAGAAAGGAAAUAGUCUUUAGCUGACAUAAACAGUGUAGUCUUUAGUUUGAAGGGAAUUGUUUUGAACUGUUCAUUAUCUCAGCAUGUCUACUCUGUUUCCUCCAAGACACUUUGGUGUGUACAACUGGUGAACAAUCAUGACACUCCUUGAGAGAUGUAGUAUUAAAACACACACACACACACACACACAGUCAGAGGCAAAGGAGAGGGGCAUGGGAAUGAGGUAGAGGCCGAUUUGAUUUUAAUUCACUGAACAUUUACUCAGUGCCAAGAACUGUGCUAAGGGGUAUGCUACAAAAAUAAAUGAAUAUUUUUAAAAUAAAUUAUUCCUGUCCUCAAGGAACUUAGCAUCGAGUAGAGGAGGAAGGCAAUUAAAGAGUUGAAGUGUGAAACCCCAGUGUAGUACAUACAAUAGGAGAUGUACGUAGAUGGAGAGAGUUGCCAAGAAGGAGGUAAUGUGGGGAAAGAUCAAGCAUACCAAGAUUGCCAAGAAUGAAAGGCAAAUGGGAGUUUUCCAGGUGUGUCAGAGGAGUACAAAGGGCCUCACAAGGCAAGAGGAGGGAAUCCCAUGUGAAUUUCUGGGUGCAUGUUUGGGGGAUGAUAUGGUAUUUUGUUUUUCAACAUUUUAAUUGCAAAGGAGGGAGAGGGUAAGAGUUAAGGUUGGGAAAGGAAACAGAGGCCAGAUCAAAUCUUUUCAUUAAUCCAGGUAGAGUUAGGACUUUAUCCUGCAGGUAUCAGAGUUAGUGAGUGGUUUUAAACAAGGAAAACAACCACAGUUAAACUUGCAUUUUGGAAAAAGCACAGAAGGGCAGAUUGGUGAGGAAGGAGACUAGUUAAGACUAGGCAAGUGGGAUAUUGGAAAAGGAAAAAACGUUUAAACGACAACAAUUUAAAACAGUUAUUGAGAGUGUUCCUGAAUAGCAUCUUAAAACUUUUAAAAUACCACAAGGCAAAAACUUGCAUUUUGAAAUUUAUAAUGUGGGAUAGCCCUCAUGUUUCUUUUAAUGUCCACAAAAUGCUCACUAGUUUUAUUGGUUUAUAUAAAUGCAGUGUUUUUCUUUUUUGCUAGUUCUUGUGGUUUCUAUGCCGAGCACUAGGAAAUGAAUAAAAUCAGGCCAGCAAGGAUAUCAUAAAGCAGAUGUGAGAAGUGCUAGCUAAGGAACUGGGUGGGUAGUAUUUGCCAAUUACUAUUAUUCUUCAUUUUCUGGUAAGACUCACAGGAAAGCAAGUCAAUAAAGUAACUUCUCUGCCUUGUUGUUUCAAUGGAAAAGUGAUGGGAGUGAGAGGAAUUUUGUGAGAAAAAGAUUCAUUUUCUCCCUGUGGUCUGGGGAUUGCUGGCGAGCCCAAGGCAUAAGCUGAAAUCUGUUGAUUUUAUUUACUUGCUGCUUCUUACUGAGCCACUGUUGGCAGAGUUGAAUUGAAAAGGUGCUAAGGGAAUAACUUUCUGAUUUUUUUUUUGAGCUGGAUAUUUUGCUAGCCAACCUCAGCACAGGACACCCAGAAGAAAAAUGAACCUACAUAACCACCCGGACUUGGAUGUGAAAUGUCCACUCUGCCUUCGCUGUGUGUGUGUAUGCCAGAGUCCUUCAAUUUGAUGGCAUUAAAAAAAAAAAAAAAAAAAAAGACAGGAGACAGCUAUGGAAAGAGAAUACAAACCAUGACUUUUAGACGUGAGAAAGGACAGUAAGCCUUCCUUUAAUUUAAUAAGCUCAGGUGAAAGAACUAGAGGCAAGUCCAAGUGUUUGCUGAGAUCAUGGAAUAAUCAGAACUCUUAUACUUUACCGGCAAGAAUAAUCAAUUUGGAAAACAGUUUAACAUUAUCUAGUGAGGCUGACACAGACACAAGGAGAUAUGUGCAAAAAUGUCCAUAGCAGCACUAUCUGUAGAAGCAAAAUACUGAAAACAACCCAAAUGUCCAUCGGCAGUGGAAUGGGUGAAUAACACGUAUAUGAUGAAAUACUAUGCAGCAAUGAAAAAGAAUAAGACACAAUUGAGCAUAUCAACAUGGGUGAAUCUCACAUACAGCGUUGAAUAGCAAAAGUAUGUUUUUGCAAAAUACAUACAGAAUAAUUUCUUUUCUAUAAAAUUAAACAUGAAAAGUAAAAUAUUAUAUAUGGAUACGUAUGUCUGCAGUAAAACUAUUAACAAAGAAAAAAGAAAGGGGAUGGUAAAAGCAAAAUUCAGGACAGUAGUCUACCUCCAGGGGUAAUUAGGAAGGGCAAUGUCGUAUUUUUUAAACCAGCUGGUGAGUACAAAAGUGUUCAUUUAUCACUGUUUUAUCUUAGACAGCAUGGUAAAUAUUCUUUGGUAUGUAUUCAAUUUUAAAUUUAAAAGAAGAAAAGAAAAACCACCUGCUGAUGCUGCCAUCCUUGCAAAAAUGAAUCUUUAGGAAAUUUAACAUGUUCUCUGCUGUGCUUUUUUCUUCUCCCCUACACAGAGAUGAUGAGAUUGGCCCCAUGUCUGAAAAACAGUAUGUGGGGAAGGCCUGGAGAAGCAAUUGAACUGAAACAAAGUCAAAAGUGGGAAGUCCCCCUCUGGCAAGCAGCUCUAAGAUGACAGAGCCGGUGCCAGAAUCUAAACCUUGGGACUCUGGUUGCUGUAUAAAAAAAUAAAUAUUAGGAACAAAAAUAAAUACCCACAUCUCCAUGCUGGACAGCAGAAGAGCAAUAAGUUGCCAAAUUUUUUUUUUGUUUUGUUUUGAUAGUUUUUUACUCUCUAAAUGUAAGCUCCUAUAUUUCCUGUCUUCCAUAUGUUAGAAGCUCAGUACAAACAGGAGAAAAAGAAAAAAAAAAAGGCUGGAUGCACCUCAUUUGUUGUCAACAGGGAUGUUUCAAAUUAUUGUUAAACUAGAAGGGACUCAAUGCUUUAGAAACAACUCAUUACUCAAUUCAGCCACUUUUAUUUCCUAUUAGGCUGUCAUAUAGCAAAAUGUCCAACACCGCCCCAUCCCUCUCUGCUACUACUACCUUUUGACAAGACAGUCUCUUUGUUAAAGUCAAGUUAAAACUGGAUACAGCUGUGGUAGUUUCAGGCCUAUCUGACAGACAAUAUUGAACUCAUUUCAUCAUCUGAAACUUUAAUACAAAAUGUCUCUUAAGGACUCUAUGAACAGAGCAAGAGGUUCUUGCCCUGUGAAAAUAGAUUAAUGCUAAGAGAGCUCCCUAAUGGCAAUAGAAACCAACAUUUAUUUUAUGCUUAUUAGGUGCCAGGUAGAGAGAGGGUCAAGUAAUUUAUAAGCAUUAUCUCAAUUCAUCCUAAUAAUGAACCCUCCUGUGAGAGUGGUGGGUGAUAAUAUUAUCCCCAUUUCACAGGUGAGGGGGUUCUUGGAGAGGUUAAGUAACUUGCCCAAGGUCAUACAGCUGGUACAUGGUAGAGCAGGGAUCUAUUCCAAGUCUAACACAGUAUCCAUUCUCUUAAUCCCUAUACUAUAAUGUCACUUGAAUAUGGUAACAAAAGUAGUUAGAAUUGCCAGUGUAAUCAACUAGAAACAAAAUUCAAGCCUACUUGAUAGUUUAGCUCAUAAAAUCUGUCUGGUAUCACCAAAGGUGAUAGGUGAUUUGGGCUGGGGAGAAUCUAUAAAUUAUUUUCAACAAUUCAAAUAGCCUAAUGCAUGGGUUCUUAAUCUGUUUCUGUGCUACAGUCUCCUAUGACUGUCUGGUGCAGCCUGUGGACUACCUUCUCACAAUAAUGUUUCUAAAUGCAUGCUGGCUGGGCAUGGCGGCUCAUGCCGAUAAUCCUAGGACUUUGGGAGGCCAAGGCAAGAGGAUCACUUGAGCUCAGGAGUUUGAAACCAGGCUGAACAGCAUGGCAAGACCCCAUCUCUACAAGAAAAUACAAAAAUUAGUCAGGUGUGGUAUCAUGUGCCUAUGGUCCCAGAUACCUGGGAUGCUGAGGUGGGAGGAUUUGUUGAGCCUGGGAGUUCAAGGCUAAAGUGAGCCAUGAUGGUGCUACAGCACUUCAGCCUAGGUGACAGGGCAAGUCCCUGCCUUAAAAUAAAUACAUACAUAAUUAAUACAGAGUGCAUAUGCAUCCACACAUAUACAUAGAUAAUAUACAGUGAAUUAAAAUCAAAUCCUAGGCUUUGCUAGGAUUGCAAAUGAAACACUCCACUGAAAUCAUCAAAACAGUAAAAAAAAAUUGUGAGAUAGCACAUACAUACUUGUAUAUUAGCACAUUCAGUAGGAGAAACCAGAGGGUCUGAAAACUACUAUAAUUUUAAUUUUAGUGAUAAGGAUAAAAGGUUUUCAACAUAUCUAUAACAGUGUAUGUGGUAUUUGGUAUGAGAAUGUCUUUGCUUUCUAUUGGUGACAAAAGUCAAAGGUACUGCUGUGCCACUGUGAUUUGUUGCCUACAUUUAUAAUGGAAGGAAAUGUGAAAUUUCACAAUUCAUAAUGAAAGGAAAUGCUAUUUCAGUUAGAGGUUAGAGAAAAUAAAGAUGCAGUUUUUUCCCUUCCAAGUUCACUGACAACUCCUUGAAUCCUAACCACAGACCCUUACUCCAGGUUAAGAAUCCUUAUUAAAUAGCCUAAUGAGUAACUAAUGGAAAUACUGAGCUUACUUAUAAUAAGACUUCACAGUCUAAAAUGUGGCACUUUUUUUUUCUUUGCUUUGACAUGGAAUUGUAUGAAUCUAUUAUCCAGAAAAAAAAUUCACUGUGGCUAGUGGACAUCUUUGCUGCAAACCAUCACUCUGGAUGAUGUUUAAAGCAGACAGUGCUUGGUAGUUUUUUCUUUGUUGAAAGGCAACACAGACACACUACUAUCUAAGAGCACUGCACACCAGGAACACGUUGUUUCAGUACAGCACAAAACUGCUGGGAAAAGGAAACUAAUGCUUUUAAACAAAUAAAAGAGUUUUCUUACAAGUCUAAAUUGCCAGUGAUCUAUCAAUAAUUAAAAAGAACAAAGACCACUUGUAAACCUGCAGUGCAUGGCAGGGACUGAAGUCUACAAUUUAGAUUAAGGUUUUGGCUGAUGAUUUCAGAGAACCAGUGCCAUACCAGUUGAUACUACUGACUGGAAGACAGAGACAAUGCUUCAGGUCAAUGGCUGAUUUGUAAAGAGUAAAACUGUGUUCUCAAAUUUCUGGUUAGCUUGUAAGUAAAAAUGGAUUUAGAACAUACUUCAGGAAUCAGAAUGAAAGUUUCUCCAAACAUAUGCCACAUGGGGGUUCCUGCCAGAUGGAAGCCAUGUCAUUAUCAAUAGAGGGACAAAAGACAUCAUAGUUUAGGGUUCCCAAACUGGCUACAUAUUAGAAACCUCUUUGAAGCUUCAAUACCAAUGCCCAGGUUCCACCCCAGACCAAUAAAAUCAGGGUAUCUACAGAGCAGGUGUGGAAAUCUGUAUCUGCAAAGGUUGAGACACAUUGGUUUAGGGCAAAGGAGGAGAUUAAAAAUGGCUCCAGAUUCUUUGCCAUUCUUCCCACCAAAAGGAAUCUGCUUUGCUCUGUGUUUUGCAUUGACCAGGAGAGAAUGAAAUGGAAAUAAUGUUCUGGGACUUUUGAGUACAGGCCUUAAAAGGACUGGCAUCUUCUGCUUUUCCAUUUGGAACACCAGCCUGCUGUAUUGUGGAAAAGUCCAGGCCAGGACACUACAUGAUUAGAGGUGGUAUGGAGAGAGCACUGGAGGAGAGGAGAUCAUCUUGGAUGUCCCAGCUUUAGCCAAACUCCCAGCUGAAUGCAGCUGCACAUGUGACCUCAGCCUACCCCAUCUGAAUCAGACCCACCCAGCUGAGCUCACUCAAUCCACAUAUUUGUGAGAAAUAAUAAAUUGUUUGAAGCCACUA
rnacentral:lncRNA from 1 species